UCCCCGAGUUACUGCCUUGACCCUGUGCUGGGGACAGCAGUCAUGGGGGGUGUCUGUGUUGAUAUGGAGAAGGAUAAGAAAAAACCCAACCCAUAUGGUUACAUUCCACUUAAAGUGGGUAUUUCCCUGGUGACCCCCAAAAGUAAAUGUUAAUAGAUACCUCUAGAAAGGUCUCUUGCUUUGCCCUGUUCCCUUCCUAUAAGGCGAUAAUGCUGCGCAGAGAUAGAGCAGAUUUUAGGAGCCUGGUCUCCUGCUUUAAUCAUCUUCUGACAUUCAAUAUAGAGACACAUCUUUUGGGGUGGGUUUUUUUUUCUCCAGCUCUACAUCUUACUCCAGAAGUAGGUAGUCUUUGAAUCUCUGUCUUAGCCUCAACUGGAAAAGUAGUUCACCUUCUUGUAAGUUCUGAUUGUUAGAUAUGAAAGCUCUAUUUCAUAGCGACCGCAGGGAUUGUAACUCUUCAGCUGUGCUCAUGGGUAAAAAUGUACAGUCAAAAAAUAGGAGUUAUAAGAUCUUUUGCUGGACUACUUUUGAGUCGAUCUGGGAUGACAGAACCUAUUUCAGGCCAACAGUUAUUGUAAGGUUUCCAUGGAGAUUAAUGAUGUCAGAAGAGCAACAUCUGAGUGCAGUUUGCUAGAAAACAAGGCUGUAAUGUUAUAGUGGCAAAGUGAAGUCUUUGCAUUUUUGUCAACUCGUGGAAUAGUGAAACACAUUUUCUCAGUGGAUUGCAAUUUGCUUUUGAUUUGUGCUGAACAUGAGCUGAAGUAAUGCUUUUGCUGUGUGGUGAUUCUCCUGCAGUUUACCUCAGUGCUCAGAAAAGGAAUUAUUCUUGCCCUCAGGCCACUUUCUGAAUUCCUGAAAUGCAAAGCUUACCCAGCGAGAGAAUGGCCUACUCAUGUACAAACCAACUGACAGUUCCUCCUGAAAACCAGGGCAAGUUAAUACAUUCCACAUGUUCCCUGCCCCAGUUUUUCAAAUUGAUUAUUUUGAAAAGCUAAGUAAGCCUAUCUUUAUUUUGCAGGAAAUGUUUGGUGCCAUUAGGCAGCAAUGCUGUUGAAAAGAACAAAGCUGGAACAGCUUUUGAUAAUGUCCUCUGAGAAAUGGCCAACUGCUAUACAAGUGCAAUGACAGAGCCUUUUGUAGGUACUGACCUCUACACUCUGCUGGUAGACUGUUCACUAGUGAGAGGCACCAAACCUGCUGGGAACAACUGAUUUUGGACAGAAAAAGAAGAGGAAGAACCCUCUGCCUGGGCCACAUUCAGCAAAUCCUUCAGUGUUUGUUGUUUUUUCAAGGUUGAUUUCCCUUUUUCUCCAAGAAACAAGAACGUUUUGUACAGUAACCUCACAAACAAGUAGUGGAAUGGCAGAGGCAUAAAGCACGAACUAAAAAGAAACAUCAGACCAUCUGCUUUAAACGUGUCAGACCUUGGUUAGCAGGAAUGAGGAGGGACUCUAAUUGUAUAGGACUCAGAGCGAGGACUUCCAGUGUUGGACGUCUCACAGCAUGGGGCUCAUAAUCUCAGUUUUUCACUUGAGAGGCAGGAAUGUUGUGCCUUUCAAGUCCAGCAUCUAUACAUGGAAGUGGCUGUUUGUAAGUGCACGCGUUGCAAAUAGCUGCAUGGCUGACUCCUUGUUUACCCUCAGCAUGAAUGUCUGCAUGCAGA